GACGUCAUCUGCAGGCCCUGGAGACGCGACUGCAGUUACCGAGUUUCUAAGGCCUCGUCCCCUGACGGGAAGGCGGCGUUGGGGGGCGGCUGGGUUUACCCUUCGAGAGUCCGUGUGAGAACCGGGACACCUGUCCUGUUGAAAAGGGGGACGCAAAAGCUGAAAAUGCCCGGAAGGAUAUGGCUUCCUUGAACUGCGGGACGUGUAGCUGCAGCUGUGGGGUGGACCAUGGAAACAGGUACCCAAAGUACCUUGAUAAAACACAUACCAGAGUAAGGGAAGGAGGAUGGGAAGGAGAGAGAUUCUAAGAAGAUGCAGGAGUUGGCCAGGCGCUGUGGCUCAC
rnacentral:lncRNA from 1 species